GAGGGUAUAGCUCAAAGUGGUAGAGCACGUGCUUAGCAUGCAUGAGGUCCUGGGUUCAAUUCCCAGUACCUCCU
rnacentral:tRNA from 1 species